AAUUAAGAUAUAAUUUGAUCAGAUACACAUAUUACGUAAAUAUAAAAAUCUAGCAAUUUUUAUUAAGAUGAAGUGUAUAAAAUAAAAAUUCAGUAUAUUAUGAUGAAAUAGAUAGUUAAAUUGUAUUGCAAAAUGAAAUGAACUAGAUUUUAACCCGCGGUAUACCGCGGCACGAUUUAUUUUUUAAAGGUAACAUAUAUUAAAACUUACAAAUUUUAU
rnacentral:sRNA from 1 species